CGCCCCACUUCCGUAUCUGUGCACUGUAAUAUUACUAAGGGAUUAAGUUAAUCCCUUAGUAAUAUUACUUUUGUAUUAUACAAGAUAUGUUGAAAACAUGCCAAGGAAAGAAGAAAAGAGGCAGGAACAAUUACUAACGUUUAAUUCUAAUCCUAGUUCAUAGCAAGUAUUUAAUAAAGAUCAGCUUGGGCGGGUGACUACGAACUGAGGAGAAUGGGAGAGUACACCAGGAGGGAAACCACAGUGAAAAAUACAGGAAGCCUGAUCAACAAGGCAGGAUACAGAGAGUACAACAAAAAGAAGAAAAUGCAGGUCAGUAUGGGAAAGAAUAUCAGGAGUGAGACUUUAAAAUAAUAAAUGACAAGCCCGUAAUCCAGGGCCUGCAUUAUUUUCUUACUGGACCAGACAAAUUUUUUGUUUUUAUUUUGGGGGUUGGGAGGGUGAACAGCCACAACCCACUAAGAGGGUUAUAUGAUACAUAUCUUAAAAGAAAAUGUGGUGGUGAAUUUGUUAAUCUCGGAUUUUUCCGCUUAGAGACACGAGGGCUUAGUGACAAGCGCUUGAUUCCCCCCAAGCUCGGCAAGAUAUAUAAUAUUAUUAUCUUGGGUUUUUCAGAUCAUCUUGGCAAUUCAGGACCUCUUUUAUUACAUUUGUGGACUAGACAAAUUUUAAGAAUUGGAACGACUAUUUUUUAGUGAAUCUACAA